rnacentral:rRNA from 1 species
GAAAGCGUGGGUAGCGANCAGGAUUAGAUACCCUGGUAGUNCACGCCGUAAACGAUGAGUGCUAGGUGUUAGGCCCUUUCCGGGGCUUAGUGCCGGAGCUAACGCAAUAAGCACUCCGCCUGGGGAGUACGACCGCAAGGUUGAAACUCAAAGGAAUUGACGGGGGCCCGCACAAGCGGUGGAGCAUGUGGUUUAAUUCGAAGCAACGCGAAGAACCUUACCAGGUCUUGACAUCCCGAUGCUAUUCUUAGAGAUAGGAAGUUACUUCGGUACAUCGGAGACAGGUGGUGCAUGGUUGUCGUCAGCUCGUGUCGUGAGAUGUUGGGUUAAGUCCCGCAACGAGCGCAACCCUUAUUGUUAGUUGCCAUCAUUAAGUUGGGCACUCUAGCGAGACUGCCGGUAAUAAACCGGAGGAAGGUGGGGAUGACGUCAAAUCAUCAUGCCCCUUAUGACCUGGGCUACACACGUGCUACAAUGGUCGGUACAACGAGUUGCGAGCCGGUGACGGCAAGCUAAUCUCUGAAAGCCGAUCUCAGUUCGGAUUGGAGGCUGCAACUCGCCUCCAUGAAGUCGGAAUCGCUAGUAAUCGCGGAUCAGCACGCCGCGGUGAAUACGUUCCCGGGCCUUGUACACACCGCCCGUCACACCACGAGAGUUUGUAACACCCGAAGUCGGUGAGGUANCCUUUUAGGG